UACGAAGGGGGCUAGCGUUGCUCGGAAUCACUGGGCGUAAAGCGCACGUAGGCGGAUUGUUAAGUCGGGGGUGAAAUCCUGGAGCUCAACUCCAGAACUGCCUUCGAUACUGACGAUCUCGAGUCCGGGGAGAGGUGAGUGGAACUCCGAGUGUAGAGGUGAAAUUCGUAGAUAUUCGGAAGAACACCAGUGGCGAAGGCGGCUCACUGGCCCGGUACUGACGCUGAGGUGCGAAAGCGUGGGGAGCAAACAGG
rnacentral:rRNA from 1 species